rnacentral:pre_miRNA from 1 species
CAAAGAUGGUGUUUACGUAAGCAACGUCUUUGAAAGUUCACAAACAAAGACGUUGCUUAUGUAAGCACCGUCUUCGUUUGCGAACUUUCAAAGACGUUGCUGGCAUAAGCACCGUCUUU